AUUGCUUCUGGGCUCUAUGAGCUAAGAUCAAAUGUAAUAUCUGUUCUUAUCAGUUUAAUAUCUGAUAGUUCUGGAUUCCAUAAGAAGCAGAAGCUCCUGGCUUGAUGCUUUAUCUUCCCAGAAACCUGCACCAAAA
rnacentral:snRNA from 1 species